rnacentral:misc_RNA from 1 species
UCUCCGUUGGUGAACCAGCGGAGGGAUCAUUACAGAGUUGCAAAACUCCCAAACCAUUGUGAACGUUACCUAUCCCGUUGCUUCGGCGGGCGGCCCGGGCCCCGCGCCCGGCGCCCCCCGGCCCCCCGUGGGCGCCCGCCGGAGGUAAACCAAACCCUUGAAUUGCAUGGCCUCUCUGAGUCUUAUGUACUGAAUAAGUCGAAACUUUCAACAACGGAUCUCUUGGUUCUG